AUGAACGCUGGCGGCGUGCCUAAUACAUGCAAGUCGAGCGAACAGACGAGGAGCUUGCUCCUCUGACGUUAGCGGCGGACGGGUGAGUAACACGUGGAUAACCUACCUAUAAGACUGGGAUAACUUCGGGAAACCGGAGCUAAUACCGGAUAAUAUAUUGAACCGCAUGGUUCAAUAGUGAAAGACGGUUUUGCUGUCACUUAUAGAUGGAUCCGCGCCGCAUUAGCUAGUUGGUAAGGUAACGGCUUACCAAGGCGACGAUGCGUAGCCGACCUGAGAGGGUGAUCGGCCACACUGGAACUGAGACACGGUCCAGACUCCUACGGGAGGCAGCAGUAGGGAAUCUUCCGCAAUGGGCGAAAGCCUGACGGAGCAACGCCGCGUGAGUGAUAAAGGUCUUCGGAUCGUAAAACUCUGUUAUUAGGGAAGAACAAAUGUGUAAGUAACUAUGCACGUCUUGACGGUACCUAAUCAGAAAGCCACGGCUAACUACGUG
rnacentral:rRNA from 1 species